rnacentral:misc_RNA from 1 species
GUUAUGCAAUUGUUGUUUGUGGUUAUUUCAAUGCACAGAAGUUGAUGUAUUUGUAAAAAGUUGUAUUAAAGGUUCAAAAGGGUUCAAGUAAAAAUGAUAAUUAAAAUUGAUUUUUUUUUACUUUUUCAGAUUCGAUUACCGAAUUUGAAAUGUUUGGUUCAGUAGUUUUUUUUGUAACGGUUAGUUAACUAUAUGAAUGUUGUGUAAAAAUGACUGAAUGAUGUUUUAAAUGAAUGUUGUAUUCCAUUCAUAAAUGGUGAAUAUACAUAAUGUGUAUGUUGCUUUUAUAGCAUUGGGUUUUAAUGGCUACACUUUUAUGAUUUUAGUUAUUGUGUUUAUGAUGAUGUCUUCUAGUCGUGAACAAAUCACAACAAACAAGCGGUAUGUUUAAACAAACUGCCUCUCUCCUAAUCAUACAUCUACAAAUAUUAUCAUUUUACUAUGAUUAUGUUCAUACUUCAGCUAUUUGCAUUAUUAUACUUUUACUUACUUUUUGAUACAACAAUGUUACAUCUGAUUAAAACCAUACAAAUGGGUUUUUAUGAAUCAAUGUUUGGUUUCUCUUUCAUUAUUGGAAAAAGUCUUAUUAGUUUUUUGUCUAAAUACUUUGUUCAAUAUUUACAAAAUAAAUGCUUUUUUAGGAAAUAAACUGUCGUAAACAUC